UCGGGAAUUUUGGGCAAUGGGGGAAACCCUGACCCAGCAACGCCGCGUGAAGGAUGAAGUAUUUCGGUAUGUAAACUUCGAAAGAAUAGGAAGAAUAAAUGACGGUACUAUUUAUAAGGUCCGGCUAACUACGUGCCAGCAGCCGCGGUAAUACGUAGGGACCAAGCGUUGUUCGGAUUUACUGGGCGUAAAGGGCGCGUAGGCGGCAAUUCAAGUCAUCUGUGAAAUCUCCGGGCUUAACUCGGAACGGUCAGAUGAUACUGCUUUGCUAGAGUGCAGAAGGGGCAAUCGGAAUUCUUGGUGUAGCGGUGAAAUGCGUAGAUAUCAAGGGGAACACCUGAGGUGAAGACGGGUUGCUGGGCUGACACUGACGCUGAGGCGCGAAAGCCAGGGGAGCAAACGGGAUUAGAUACCCCAGUAGUCCCUGAGCGGGCUGGCAAGGCGCAU
rnacentral:rRNA from 1 species